GUGUAACUGAUGAUAAACUGUCACUGAACAUUGCUGCUUAAUCUAUUUUGGAGAAAGCGGCGAUAGAGCAAAGGAUGUUCGCAAUUGCGAGGCAUUUGCCUGAUACACUA
rfam:Drosophila busckii chromosome 2R sequence.